AAACUUUAAACGGCCGCGGUAUUCUAACCGUGCAAAGGUAGCGUAAUCACUUGUCUUCUAAAUAAAGACCUGUAUGAACGGCUAAAUGAGGACAAACCUGUCUCUUAUAACCAAUCAGUGAAACUGAUCUGCCAGUACAAAAGCUGACAUAAGAACAUAAGACGAGAAGACCCUGUGGAGCUUAAAACAAACCACUAACCCACCCCUAGUGUAAUGUCUUAAGUUGGGGCGACUUCGGAACAAAAUAAAACUUCCGAGCAAAGACCCACAACCUCUUACUAAGGCCAACAAGCCAAAGUAUUAACUGACCCGGCCAAGCCGACCAACGAACCAAGUUACCCCAGGGAUAACAGCGCCAUCUUCUUCAAGAGUCCAUAUCGACAAGAAGGUUUACGACCUCGAUGUUGGAUCAGGGCACCCAGGCGGUGCAGCCGCUGCCAACGGUUCGUUUGUUCAACGAUUAACAGCCCUACGUGAUCU
rnacentral:rRNA from 1 species